GGGCCCUGGCCGAUGGCCAUGCAAUAAUCCAGAUCUAGUUCGGUGGAAUGACUUCGAGGUAGACGGUGCCACCAAUUCUAACUGAAAGCGCCGCAUGAGAGCAUAUCUAUGCUUCCUAUGGCUUAGAAGGCGGAUUUAAGAAACAAAUUAAGUUCGCUUGCUCCAAUCUUCCUACUUUUUUUUUUUUUUUUUUCCGGAUAAGGAUUGCUUGCUC
rnacentral:lncRNA from 1 species